rfam:Choloepus hoffmanni cont1.917904, whole genome shotgun sequence.
CCGCAUUCGUCAUGGCGAUCAGAUGGCACCAGGAGAAAUAGAGCCCCUGGCCAGUGUCCUGAGUCGUAGCAGUGCAGGAGGGGAGCCCUGAAGGAGAGAGCCUGCCUAAAUCGAUGCCUGCAGAUUCAGUUUGCAGAGGCUUAGGAGGAGGAAGCUCUCCA